AGAGUUUGAUCCUGGCUCAGGAUGAACGCUGGCGGCGUGCCUAAUACAUGCAAGUCGAACGAAUCUUCUUCGGAAGAUGAGUGGCGAACGGGUGAGUAAUACAUAGGUAACCUGCCCCUGUGCGGGGGAUAACAGGAGGAAACUCCUGCUAAUACCGCAUAGCCAUGAGCACCGCAUGGAGCUCAUGCCAAAUAUCCUUCAGGGGAUAGCGCAGGGAUGGACCUAUGGCGCAUUAGCUAGUUGGCGGGGCAACGGCCCACCAAGGCAACGAUGCGUAGCCGGCCUGAGAGGGCGGACGGCCACAUUGGGACUGAGACACGGCCCAGACUCCUACGGGAGGCAGCAGUAGGGAAUUUUCGGCAAUGGGGGAGACCCUGACCGAGCAACGCCGCGUGAGCGAAGAAGGCCUUCGGGUCGUAAAGCUCUGUUGUAAAGGAAGAACGUCGCAUGCAGGAAAUGGUGUGCGAGUGACGGUACUUUACCAGAAAGCCACGGCUAACUACGUGCCAGCAGCCGCGGUAAUACGUAGGUGGCGAGCGUUAUCCGGAAUCAUUGGGCGUAAAGAGGGAGCAGGCGGCCGCAAGGGUCUGUGGUGAAAGACCGAAGCUAAACUUCGGUAAGCCAUGGAAACCGGGCGGCUAGAGUGCGGAAGAGGAUCGUGGAAUUCCAUGUGUAGCGGUGAAAUGCGUAGAUAUAUGGAGGAACACCAGUGGCGAAGGCGACGGUCUGGGCCGCAACUGACGCUCAUUCCCGAAAGCGUGGGGAGCAAAUAGGAUUAGAUACCCUAGUAGUCCACGCCGUAAACGAUGGUCACUAAGUGUCGGGGGUCAAACCC
rnacentral:rRNA from 1 species